GGUUGAUAAGGUGAGCAAUCCUGACAGCAUCAGAAUAUAUAGAAGCAGAAAAGAGAUGAUGUUGUAUUGUUGUUUGCAUAUCAGCUCUGAGUGGCUAGGGCUUAAAUGAUUGCUGCAGUGCAAUCCAGGCAAAAUUGAAGUACGCUAAUGGUACCGGUGGAAGCCUUGAUCCUAUUUGAAAAAGGAGAGCUUCACAAAGCACAUUAUGAAACUGUUUUACAUCGGAUCGUCCAAGGUGUCAUCGACAAAAAAAAAAAAAAAAUAGAACCAGGACUCUAUUAGCAAGCAGCUGUUCAAAUCAACCCCUAACAAAAAUCCAAUGAGUGUGAUUGUGGAAUCCUUGAAGCCCUGAAGGUGCUUAGCUUGCAAGGAUUUGCCUCAAUUUUGGAGCCUAACCUCUGUAGAAUCAUGAGUCAAAUUUUGACUAUUUACUGAUUAUAGUUGAAUUUUGGUCGAGACUAGAUGCCGUUAGAUGAAUCUCUUCAAUAUGUUUAUCAAUUCAGUGAAGCAUUAUGUUGCUUUUAAUAGUUCUGUUAUUCAAAUUCUCAUGUCAUUCAUUCAU